CAGGACUGUGCUAUAGGCUUCUUAGGUUCAUCCUUUCAAAGCUGAUGGUUCUUUCCAUAAAUGACCCACCAAGGAUGGAGAAGGACAGAAACCACAUGGCUGCAAGGAUACUAGACCUCACCCUGGAGAUCAUCUACUUGAUAACUGGAGAGGAUUACACAGUAGUGAAGAAGUCGUCUGGUGAGUGUGUGACACCCC